AUGCACGCUGGCGGCGUGCCUAAUACAUGCCAGUCGAGCGAACGGACGAGAAGCUUGCUUCUCUGAUGUUAGCGGCGGACGGGUGAGUAACACGUGGAUAACCUACCUAUAAGACUGGGAUAACUUCGGGAAACCGGAACUAAUACCGGAUGAUAUUUUGAACCGCAUGGUUCAAAAGUGAAAGACGGUCUUGCUGUCACUUAUAGAUGGAUCCGCGCUGCAUUAGCUAGUUGGUAAGGUAACGGCUUACCAAGGCAACGAUGCAUAGCCGACCUGAGAGGGUGAUCGGCCACACUGGAACUGAGACACGGUCCAGACUCCUACGGGAGGCAGCAGUAGGGAAUCUUCCGCAAUGGGCGAAAGCCUGACGGAGCAACGCCGCGUGAGUGAUGAAGGUCUUCGGAUCGUAAAACUCUGUUAUUAGGGAAGAACAUAUGUGUAAGUAACUGUGCACAUCUUGACGGUACCUAAUCAGAAAGCCACGGCUAACUACGUG
rnacentral:rRNA from 1 species